rnacentral:rRNA from 1 species
UACGAAGGGUGCAAGCGUUAAUCGGAAUUACUGGGCGUAAAGGGUGCGUAGGCGGUUGUUUAAGUCUGUCGUGAAAUCCCCGGGCUCAACCUGGGAAUGGCGAUGGAUACUGGGCAGCUAGAGUGUGUCAGAGGAUGGUGGAAUUCCCGGUGUAGCGGUGAAAUGCGUAGAGAUCGGGACGAACAUCAGUGGCGAAGGCGGCCAUCUGGGACAACACUGACGCUGAAGCACGAAAGCGUGGGGAGCAAACAGG